rnacentral:rRNA from 1 species
UACGUAGGGUCCGAGCGUUGUCCGGAGUUACUGGGCGUAAAGCGCGCGCAGGCGGCUGUCUAAGUCUGGCGUGAAAGCCCCCGGCUCAACCGGGGAGGGUCGUCGGAGACUGGAGAGCUUGAGGGCGGUAGGGGCUGGUGGAAUUCCCGGUGUAGUGGUGAAAUGCGUAGAGAUCGGGAGGAACACCUGUGGCGAAGGCGGCCAGCUGGGCCGACCCUGACGCUGAGGCGCGAAGGCGUGGGGAGCGAACGGG